rnacentral:rRNA from 1 species
GACGAACGCUGGCGGCGUGCUUAACACAUGCAAGUCGAACGGAAAGGCCCUGCUUUUGUGGGGUGCUCGAGUGGCGAACGGGUGAGUAACACGUGAGUAACCUGCCCUUGACUUUGGGAUGACUUCAGGAAACUGGGGCUAAUACCGGAUAGGAGCUCCUGCUGCAUGGUGGGGGUUGGAAAGUUUCGGCGGUUGGGGAUGGACUCGCGGCUUAUCAGCUUGUUGGUGGGGUAGUGGCUUACCAAGGCUUUGACGGGUAGCCGGCCUGAGAGGGUGACCGGCCACAUUGGGACUGAGAUACGGCCCAGACUCCUACGGGAGGCAGCAGUGGGGAAUAUUGCACAAUGGGCGGAAGCCUGAUGCAGCAACGCCGCGUGCGGGAUGACGGCCUUCGGGUUGUAAACCGCUUUCGCCUGUGACGAAGCGUGAGUGACGGUAAUGGGUAAAGAAGCACCGGCUAACUACGUGCCAGCAGCCGCGGUGAUACGUAGGGUGCGAGCGUUGUCCGGAUUUAUUGGGCGUAAAGGGCUCGUAGGUGGUUGAUCGCGUCGGAAGUGUAAUCUUGGGGCUUAACCCUGAGCGUGCUUUCGAUACGGGUUGACUUGAGGAAGGUAGGGGAGAAUGGAAUUCCUGGUGGAGCGGUGGAAUGCGCAGAUAUCAGGAGGAACACCAGUGGCGAAGGCGGUUCUCUGGGCCUUUCCUGACGCUGAGGAGCGAAAGCGUGGGGAGCGAACAGGCUUAGAUACCCUGGUAGUCCACGCUGUAAACGGUGGGUACUAGGUGUGGGGUCCAUUCCACGGGUUCCGUGCCGUAGCUAACGCUUUAAGUACCCCGCCUGGGGAGUACGGCCGCAAGGCUAAAACUCAAAGGAAUUGACGGGGCCCCGCACAAGCGGCGGAGCAUGCGGAUUAAUUCGAUGCAACGCGUAGAGCCUUACCUGGGUUUGACAUGGAUCGGGAGUGCUCAGAGAUGGGUGUGCCUCUUUUGGGGUCGGUUCACAGGUGGUGCAUGGCUGUCGUCAGCUCGUGUCGUGAGAUGUUGGGUUAAGUCCCGCAACGAGCGCAACCCUUGUUCACUGUUGCCAGCACGUUAUGGUGGGGACUCAGUGGAGACCGCCGGGGUCAACUCGGAGGAAGGUGGGGAUGACGUCAAGUCAUCAUGCCCCUUAUGUCCAGGGCUUCACGCAUGCUACAAUGGCUGGUACAGAGAGUGGCGAGCCUGUGAGGGUGAGCGAAUCUCGGAAAGCCGGUCUCAGUUCGGAUUGGGGUCUGCAACUCGACCUCAUGAAGUCGGAGUCGCUAGUAAUCGCAGAUCAGCAACGCUGCGGUGAAUACGUUCCCGGGGCU